GGGACCCGCACAAGUAGCGGAGCAUGUGGUUUAAUUCGAAGCAACGCGAAGAACCUUACCUAAGCUUGACAUCCCAAUGACAUCUCCUUAAUCGGAGAGUUCCCUUCGGGGACAUUGGUGACAGGUGGUGCAUGGUUGUCGUCAGCUCGUGUCGUGAGAUGUUGGGUUAAGUCCCGCAACGAGCGCAACCCUUGUCUUUAGUUGC
rnacentral:rRNA from 1 species